AUAAACAGUAUAUCACUUUUCAAGUGAAAAGUCAGUAUAUCACUUUUCAAGUGAAAUGCUUGAUUCCCCACAUAACCUACUUAUAACUUUAUACUGCUCCUGCACAAACCUAAUUUUUACACCUAAUGACUUCUCUAGGCCCCACGCCCAACAACUCUCCCACCUCUCUUCCCAUCCCCUGCCCCUUGCCUCUGGUAACCACUAUUCUACUCUCUACUUCUAUGAUUUUGACUUUUCUAGAUUCCACAUAUAAGUGAGAUUACACAGUAUUUGUUUCUCUGUCCCUGGCUUAUUUCCCUUAAUAUGAUGUCCUCC
rnacentral:lncRNA from 1 species